GGCAAAAGUAAUGACUAUGAAUGUGUCGGAAAAAUAGCAAGGAGAUAUUUAAAUGAUUUAUUAAUAAACUAAUAAAAAAGCCAGUG